AUAGGCAGCAAUAUCACCCUGUAUCCCAAGACUGGUUACCUACUGAAGCUAAGCAGGGCUGAGCCUGGUCAGUACCUGCAUGGGAGACCUCCUGGGAAAACUAGGUUGUUGCUGGAA
rnacentral:rRNA from 1 species